UACGUAGGGUGCAAGCGUUGUCCGGAAUUAUUGGGCGUAAAGAGCUCGUAGGCGGUUCAGUAAGUCGGGUGUGAAAACUCUGGGCUUAACCCAGAGCCGCCACCCGAUACUGCUGUGACUAGAGUCCGGUAGGGGAGUGGGGAAUUCCUAGUGUAGCGGUGAAAUGCGCAGAUAUUAGGAGGAACACCGGUGGCGAAGGCGCCACUCUGGGCCGGAACUGACGCUGAGGAGCGAAAGCGUGGGUAGCAAACAGG
rnacentral:rRNA from 1 species